rnacentral:rRNA from 1 species
CGAAGGGGCUAGCGUUGUUCGGAAUUACUGGGCGUAAAGCGCGCGUAGGCGGAUUUGCCAGUCAGGGGUGAAAUGCCAGGGCUUAACCUUGGAACUGCCUUUGAUACUGCAAGUCUGGAGUACGGGAGAGGUGAGUGGAAUUCCGAGUGUAGAGGUGAAAUUCGUAGAUAUUCGGAGGAACACCAGAAGCGAAGGCGGCUCACUGGCCCGAUACUGACGCUGAGGCGCGAAAGCGUGGGGAGACAAACAGGAUU